AAGGAUUUUUUUUGGGAGCGUUCCAACACCUCGGACAAACGCAAUGGAUUCUUUCGAUAUGUACGAAGUGGGAAUUUUGCGUGACGUGCUGUCCAUGAUCUCGUUAACGAUAGAGGAAAGAGGUGGUAACGUAGCUCUCGGCUCGCGCUGUCGGAGAUAAAUUAGUAGAUGGUUCAGAGAGAGAGAUACGCACACUCGCACAGUGGAUUGGUUUUAGAACUAUAUAGAAGUGAAUGCGUAUAGCACCCACUAAAUUAAAGUACACUGUUAAUCUCGAUGUGCUAUUUCGCUUUCAUCUUAUUUAAAAUUUUCACAUAAUAAAAUUGAAAAUGGCAAAUAAAGCUUUAUACAACGUUUGUACGGCGUAAUCAAAUAAGUUCUGAAAUUUUGGAAAAACGGUAACUUAAGAGAGAAAGAGUUGCAUACCAACAAGAAAAUCGUAUGCAAUUUACAGAGCUAUUUCAGCUACUAAAUAUCUCACGAGUUCUUUGUUCCCUCGGAUAAAAAAACAAACAUGAUUAAUGAGCAUUCCAUUUCGUUUCGAAAUAUUUUAUUAUCUACCUUACGAUAAAAGCACUCAUGAUAGUUCUGAAAGUGGAGGAAAUUGAACAUUAAUCAAAAAUACAAGACUUCUUGACGGAGAAGAAAUUUUCUUCAAUAUUUGUUUAUCAAUCGGAUACACGUUAAUUCUCAAAAUAAAUUGGCUAAAUCUCUUUUCGCUUUUUUUCUACGUCUGCAAUCAUAUGCAAUCAUAUUAAUUUGACUAGAUAAUAGCAAUGAUACGAUUAAAUUUCUUUGUAAAAGUUUAAAAACCGAUCUAAACGAAUAAAUUAACGCUUCUAAGAAAUGUAAGUCUUUCCAUCGCUAAUACAUACUAAAGAUAAAAUGGAGUAUUAAACCUUAUUACCAUUUCUUAUGGUUAUCUGUUUUCCUUCUAAGAAAAAGAAAAGAAAGAAAAAAAUUUACUUAGCUACUAAAAGAGAUUAGUGCUUUUAAUACGAAGAGGGUUUUAGAGAUUUUACGUUCCGGUACUUUGCUUACUUAAAAUUGUCCUUGUCUCUAAUCUGAGAAAAUUCUCAGUUCGAUAUAACCCUGAAAAGCGACGGAAUGCACCGCCCGGAAAGUAUACUUAAGUUCCAAUUAAGUGCGAGCCAGCAAAGGCUAAGCAAGCGUGAAGAAACUCGAGUUGCUUUCUAUCUCGGGAGGGUACCUUUGGUUCCUUGCACCUCUGGUAUCGACCCCAAAGCGGGACCAGCGAUGGUGGAGCGUCGCCUACUGUAAUCCUUAAUUGGUCCGCGUGAUUCAUUCGGUCCAUUCAUCGUAACUAAACUGCUCUUCGAAGGAGGGCCGUCUUCGCCUCCGGCGACAGAACGCCUUGGAUAUCUCUCCUCUAUUCCUCGCUCUUUCGUCCUAUGUCCUUUCCCGUCUCCUGCUACCGACUAUUUCUCUCUUUCUCCUGUUCAAUCUUAGUUACACGAGAUACCACCACGACAUUCUACAGUAGCCUGUCUCGCUGCCUGCCGUUAUAACGUUAAAUCAGAUAAACAAACGCGGUCUUAACUCCGGCUGACAUAAUCAGUCGUUCAGGUUUAAGUGAGAGAGAGAGAGAGAAAGAUAGAGAGAGAAACGAUAAAGUAAACAGAGGAAGAGAAUGCGGGACGAGGAAUACGAAGAAAGAGACAAAGGUAACAGAAGUAUGUACAAUAAAACUACAAUUUCCGGUCUCUAAAGUAGUAAAUGGCGUCGCAGAAUAAUUUUAUACAAAUUGUAUUUCUCUCUUAAUUGUUAGAAAUUCAACCGAAAUAAAAAGAUAUCUAUUAAUACUUUGUUAUUUAAUGUAUACGACUGCUAGUACGAGACCAUUAAAAAUUAUUAACACUGAAGGAUCACCAUCCGUACUUGGAGAGUGAUCGUACAAGCGUGUUGUAAAGGCGCGAGCAGAGAUGUUGAAGUGCGAUUGGCCUCGUUGUCGGCUGCAUGAAUCUACGAGGGAAGACCGGUAGGGUCAUCCGAGGAUGAUGUCCCGGAGAGAGAAAGAGAGACGAUGAUCGUCUGGAUCAGAAGAAGUACGAGGAAAAGGGUGCGCCCUGCGGGUCCUGUUCGGGCGGAUAUUAUUAUACGAGGCGACUCCGCGUGUUCUCCCCGUUCCGCCACGUACGUGCGACGACAUUCGCACGAUGACGACGAGGACGGAGAUUACCCACUUUUCUACGGUCGCACGUCCCCACGAACCUCGUUAUUUCAAGAAUGCGAGUUACUUUAGGGUCGAAUGGAGAGAUCGCUGUCUCGUUACCGAUUAUUCGACAAGUCGCGUGGAAUCCUAGGCUUCCUACUUCCGCGAAAAAAAAAAAAUUACGGAGGAGAAAGACAAAUGUAAAGAGUAACGAAAGAGUGCGUUUGCAAAAUUGACGAUGCAACGCAACAAUAUAUACAUUAAAUAAUCAUUUGCCAGUGAAAAUUAAUUUAUGAUUUGCAUCGAGUAUUAAGCUGGUUGGGUUCAUUGUGUGCGUUGAUGAUAUUAAAUUUCUGGUAGCAAUUAUCAUAAUUACUAUCGCUGUACUUUAACCUUAUAGAGAUAUAUUAUAACAGAAAAUAAUUUACUUUAUUAAUAUUUUAGUUCAGUUUAGGUUUCAUUAUACGACCGAAAAUGUAUGCAUUAAAAUCAUUUAUAGAUAUUUCAUAUUUAAUUGUGUGUGUGUGUGUGUGUGUAAAGAGAGAGAAAGAGAGAAUAGUUAAUAUUUAAUGUUAAUAUCAACUUAAAUAUUUUAUGUGCGAUUACUUUUAUCAAACCGAUUUAGAAACACAGAGAAUAUAAUAAUUUUAAUCAAUGCAGUUUAAAAACGCAUACAAGAAAUAAUCAAAUUUCAGUUUAAAUUUUCGAUGGAUCGUUUUCGGUUACCGAAUUUGAAUCGUCAAAACGCAUUUAAAUUUAACUCGAUCGUUUAUAAGGUUACGAACAUAUCAUGCGAUUCAAUGUCCCAGCUUAUUGUUCCCCGAUAGAAUCUUACGCGAAUAAAAUUUAGCUUUUACCGCAUCAAAAUACAGUUCCGACCUCUUUUGAAAAUACGGAGAAAAUUCUUUCCUCACUCUUUCUCUCUCUCGUUUAUCUUACAUUCUCCAUUCUCCCUCGGUCAUCGUAACCAUCUCAUCGUCGUACCAACUUUCCGUUUCCCUCGCGGGAAGCAGAAUCAACGUGUAACUCCCACGUAACCAUCGCGAAAGUCGAAAGGCAGAAGAAAAAGAAGAAUGAUAUCCGGGCGUGCGCCUAACCGGAAAUACUCGACGACGAAGAUCUAAGAUUCGGAAAGGAGUUUCGCGGAAGGAUGAAUAAUAACGUUUGAAAUUCGAGACGCGGAAUAAAACGAUGUCGCGGACGAAAGGCACGUCGUCAAAAAAGAGGCGUUUCUGGCGGAUGGUACGGGGAAGAGGAGGAAAAGGAGGGAGAUUGUGAAGAAGAUAGGGUAGAUAGAUUCCCGCAGGAAGAGAGGGAGGAAAGUAUCCUCUCGUGUAUAGUCGACGGCAAAGCGAAAGGAUGCAAGUGGGAACGCCAGGAAGGCAGGCAGGCAGGAAGGAAGAAAGGAACGGAGGCUCUUCUAGGCUUCGUUCAAUAAAAUAGAAUAUCUAAUAAGGAACAAAAAUGCAGUCAAGAAAAGAAUGGAGGGUGCGGGCAAAGAAGGCGGAUAGUUCGUUCGGUUGAGCUCGAGAAAGGAGAGACGUAUAAGUUCGAGGCCUCCUCUCCGUACCGCCACUCGUGUCUCUCCUCGAGAUACCUAGAAAGAGAUCGGAAAGGAGAGCUGAUCCAUGAAGGAGUCAGAGAUGGUCCAAUGUAUAAAACGACGACCUUUGAAUGAGGAGAAGAAUAGAAGAAGGCGGGAUACGCAAAGUCACCGAGUGUAUGGAAAUAAACGCGCGAUAUCGCGGAACGCAUGGUAGAGAAAAGAACGAUUUUUGUCGAAAAUUUAUUUGAAACGUAACUCUUUCUAUAUCGAAUUUUUAACAUUUACGUUUUUAAUAUUUAUAAUCACAUAUAAGCGCUAUUCUUUUAAUUAUAUCAAUAAACACUUAAAAAUAUUUCCAGUCAAUCGAUAGCAGCCACUUAAUCUUAUUUCGAUCGAUCCAUAUUGUAUCUUCUUCUAUUGGAAAAUCACGAUUAUGCAUGUUAUACCUGCAACAACUGCAGUAUAAUCUCGUUUCGAUCAACGUGCUAAGGCGAGACCGGGGUCUCUCGAUGUCAGAGCUUCGUUUCAAUUUACAUAUGCAUCAGCGAAUGUCAUUAUCCUAUCAUUCUUAAGAAUCGAGCUCAGAUUUAAACGAAGCGGUUUACAAAUAUGUAAAUAUGAAACCUAUCAUAAUACCGUCUCAUAAUUGACAUUUCCGUCUUCUGUAUUCGUCAAUCUCCCUGAUUUAAAAUUACAAUGAACAGUGCCUUCGCAAAUGUACAUGUUACUUUAGAAAAUUUAGAUCAAGAUUCCA
rnacentral:lncRNA from 1 species